GAUGAACGCUAGCGGCAGGCUUAAUACAUGCAAGUCGAGGGGCAGCACGGGUAGCAAUACCUGGUGGCGACCGGCGCACGGGUGCGUAACACGUAUACAAUCUACCUUUAACAGGGGGAUAGCCUUUCGAAAGAGAGAUUAAUACCCCAUAACACAUGAAAUAGCAUUAUUUUAUGUUAAAAGCUCCGGCGGUUAAAGAUGAGUAUGCGUCUGAUUAGCUAGUUGGUGAGGUAACGGCUCACCAAGGCAACGAUCAGUAGGGGAUCUGAGAGGACUACCCCCCACACUGGUACUGAGACACGGACCAGACUCCUACGGGAGGCAGCAGUAAGGAAUAUUGGU
rnacentral:rRNA from 1 species